rnacentral:rRNA from 1 species
UGGGGAAUUUUGCGCAAUGGAGGCAACUCUGACGCAGCAACGCCGCGUGCGGGAUGAAGGCCCUCGGGUUGUAAACCGCUUUCAGCAGGGAAGACUUCGACUGUACCUGCAGAAGAAGCCCCGGCUAACUACGUGCCAGCAGCCGCGGUAAUACGUAGGGGGCGAGCGUUAUCCGGAUUCAUUGGGCGUAAAGCGCGCGUAGGCGGCUCGCCAAGCGGGAUCUCAAACCUGAGGGCUCAACCCCCAGCAGGAUCCCGGACUGGCGGGCUCGAGUUCGGUAGGGGAAGGCGGAACUCCCAGUGUAGCGGUGAAAUGCGCAGAUAUUGGGAGGAACACCGAUGGCGAAGGCAGCCUUCUGGGCCGUAACUGACGCUGAGGUGCGAAAGCUAGGGGAGCGAACAGGAUUAGAUACC